rnacentral:lncRNA from 10 species
AGACUUCAGUUUCUGUUCUCUAUCGAUUUUUCAGCCAUGUCUGUCGACUUUGAUUUUCUCUGCUAAAAUAACUUGUGGGCAAAUUUCCACUGUUCGCUAUAGUUGUGUCUUGUCUUCAGUUAUGCUUGGAGUCCCCUUUAAGAGAUGGUGUUCCCCCCACCCCCCCAUGCUGAAAAAUUCAUCCCUCAGGUUGAUAGCACAGCAGGCAGGCAGGCAUUUUCCUUUCUGUCUUUCAUGUAAUGACCGUGAAAUCCCUUCCAUAAGAACAUAGAGGUUUUGUUCUGUUCUGUUUCUAUUUUCAGAACAAUAAGUCUCCAAUGCACCACCACCCACCGGAAAAAGAGCACACAGUGACUGACAAGGUUCGUCAGCACUGGUCUGUCUUCACUGUGUACUCUCUGGAGAACAAAAUCUCAUCAAUCUGAACUCAUGGAGGGGGAGUCAGCACAGCAUUCUGCAUUUAUUUUGAGAAAUGCUUCUGUCUUGAUGGUGUUGACAACGGCAUGCCUGUUGGAAGCAGGGUUUGGGGGCACAGAUGGUGACCAAAGGAGUGAAGAUCAUUUGGGAAGAUUCUCCUCUUUGACAUGUAACAGAGUGGAAGGCACACCUGGACUUUUAUGGGGGGAAAUGAAAGGGAAAUCAUUUCCAGGAAAGAUGGGUCUUUAACCAGCUCCGCCCAGUCCAUCUGGGCUAACUCUUAAACAUGAGCCCUGCACCAUUCAUCCAUGGUUUUGUGAACAUCAUCUGGUUAAGAUACUCAGGUCUGUACUUUAAUAAGCUCGCCAAACCUGACACUGUUUGGGGUCCAGCUGUAUUUUACUGUUUUUGCUUUUAAGAUCAAUGUUCCCAGGUUCAAACCAUGAAAAGUAGAUGGUUCCUUGAAGUCACGAGUCCUAACCUGGUAGAGUUUGGGCCUCAUUUGACCCCACAGAUGUGUUUUGUUUAGCUUUCUUUUCUUUUCUUUUCUUUUUUUCUUUCUCCCUUCUGCUUCCCCUUCUCCUUCCUUCCUUCCUUCUUUCCUUCCUUCCUUCCUU